UACGUAGGGUGCAAGCGUUGUCCGGAAUUAUUGGGCGUAAAGAGCUCGUAGGCGGUUUGUCGCGUCGACUGUGAAAACCCGCGGCUCAACUGCGGGCCUGCAGCCGAUACGGGCAGGCUAGAGUUCGGUAGGGGAGACUGGAAUUCCUGGUGUAGCGGUGAAAUGCGCAGAUAUCAGGAAGAACACCAAUGGCGAAAGCAGCUCUCUGGGACGGUACUGACGCUGAGA
rnacentral:rRNA from 1 species